rnacentral:rRNA from 1 species
CUCUUAGAUGUUCUGGGCCGCACGCGCGCUACACUGAUGCAUUCAACGAGUCUAAAACCUGGUCUGAUAGGGCUGGGUAAUCUUUUGAAAGUGCAUCGUGAUUGGGAUAGAUGAUUGCAAUUCUUCAUCUUCAACGAGGAAUGCCUAGUAAACGCAAGUCAUCAGCUUGCAUUGAUUACGUCCCUGCCCUUUGUACACACCGCCCGUCGCUCCUACCGAUUGAAUGAUCCGAUGAAUACCAUGGAUUGAGAGUACGAAUGGGUUCGCUCAUUUCUGCUGCUCGAGAAGUGGAGUAAAUCUUAUCAUUUAGAGGAAGGAGAAGUCGUAACA